UUUUCGGUGGUGGUGGUGAGCGGGCUUUUCGUCGGCCUCCCCCCCCCUCCAACGGCACCGCCUGAUCCACGCCGCCCUCAGCGCCGAACUGGCCGGCCCCCUGCACGCCCUCGCCAUCGUCGCCAAGACCCCCCAGCAGUGGGAACAAGACCCCCACGUCCCCCCCCGGCCCCCCUGCCUGGGGGGGUCCAAGCACGAGCGGCGCGGGGCCGGCGACGCCGCUUCGGCGUGAUGCUGAGCCCCUAAAUGGGGGUUUUGGGGGGGUUUUGGUCGUUUUAGGGUUUUUUUGGGGGUCGUUUUUAGGGUAUGGAGGAUCUGGGGGCGCAGCUUUUGGGGUGACCCCCCCCACACACCCAGCCCGCGCUGCGCCUUCCCAUUGAUCCCCUCCUAAAUUUUGGGGGGCGAUUUGGGGGAUUUUCAAUCCACUCCCAAAUUUUUGGGGGCAAUUUGGGGGAUUUUCAAUCCAAUCCCAAUUUUUGGGGGGGGGGGCGAUUUGGGGGAUUUUCAAUCCCCUCCCAAAUUUUUGGAGGAUUUUCAAUCCCCUCCCAAAUUUUGGGGGGCGAUUUGGAGGAUUUUCAAUCCUCUCCCAAAUUUUUAGGGGUGAUUUGGGGGAUUUUCAAUCCAAUCCCAAAUUUUUGGAGGAUUUUCAAUCCCCUCCCAAAUUUUGGGGGGCGAUUUGGGGGAUUUUCUCCACGCCACCUUCAAGGCGUCCACCUCUUGCCCCCCCCCCCAUGUAAAUCUUCCCCCCCCCCAACCCUCAUCACGCCCCCCCGCAUCCCAAACCCCGACCCCAAAAAUAAACAGCUCCUGGUCCUGAUCCGAAGCGGCUCCGCUGGGUGUUAUUGGGGUAACACGGCGUAAGGGGGGGGGGGGGAUUUCAUUAUUUUUUUUGUCGUUUCCGUGGUUUUCAUCAUUUUUGUUGUUUUUUUUCUUUAAUUCUUUACAAACAUCUAAAAACUACAGCACGGCACGAACUGCAUACGGACAGAACUAGGGGUGUGCUCCGAGAAAAAGACCAGCUACAGCGAAAUGGGGGGGGGGCGCGAGGAAGAGGAGGAGGAGGAGGAGGAGGAAGA
rnacentral:lncRNA from 1 species